rnacentral:rRNA from 1 species
GACGUAGGGCGCGAGCGUUGUCCGGAUUUAUUGGGCGUAAAGAGCUCGUAGGCGGCUUGUUGCGUCAGCUGUGAAAACCCAGGGCUCAACCCUGGGCCUGCAUUCGAUACGGGCAGACUAGAGUUCGGUAGGGGAGACUGGAAUUCCUGGUGUAGCGGUGAAAUGCGCAGAUAUCAGGAGGAACACCGGUGGCGAAGGCGGGUCUCUGGGCCGAAACUGACGCUAAGGAGCGAAAGCGUGGGGAGCAAACAGG